CUGCAUGUGGCAGGGGGUUUGGAGAUUCAUGAUCCUUGAGGUCCCUUCCAACCCUGGCCGUUCUGUGAUUCUGUCUGGAUAUGGAUGUACAAAGGAGUAUUCCAUCCAUCCCAAAUAUACUCUCCAGUACUGAUGCUGCAAUAGGAUUAUAAAAGUGACAAAAGCAAUAAACUACCCUUCCUAGCUAAGGCAACUACAGCACAAUAUGGCUUCAGGCAUUAAACACAGAGAACACAUUAAAUACCUUGACUGCAAUAAUACCACACUGUAUGGCUGUGCAGUAUCACAUAACUUCCAUACUUCUCCAGAGCUUACCAUAAGAAUACUAAUGAAGGCUUAAAUGCAAACAGGAACAUCCCACUCCACCUAUUUCAUAAGAGACUGCCAGCAUGUUCUGAGACUCCAGACAAACACUUAAACGUAAGCAGAGCUAUGUGACACAGCCUACUACCAAUGGUUAUGUUUUCUUCUGUCUCAUACCUCAAGCACUUGUUCACCCGCUCUCAUCUUCAGCAGAUUAACAAUGGCUUGGUCGCUGUAAGCUCUGACACUGGUGUUUUUGUCUUUUGUGUUGUCCAGAAGUGCCUUCAGAAUGGGCUUAAUUGUCUGAGGAUCCAGUGCAGGAAGAUGGUUUUUAUUUGCCCACCAGAUCAUUUUUUCUGCCACUAACUUUAUGUCACUGGAUGAGUUCUGGAGACACUGAAGAAGACAAAAAUGGUUUUAAGUUUAGAUAUACCAAGGACCAGGCUCUAGGAGCUACUCCCAUUCGAAAGAAUAGAACUCAGAAAGUACUGAUGCAAAACCAGAGAAGAUGAAGCACAAGAAAGAUUCUACAUCAUCAUGGAUGUUCUUUCCUAUACAGAGCACUAAAUAAAAGCCCAGCUCAGUUCA